GAUUCUUCAUUUACUAUGUAAUAACAACGACAACAAAACCAUAAUGUUAUUUUUAGAGUGCCUUUUAGUUCUCAAAAUGUUUACACCUACUUAAAGUUAAAACAAAACAAUGGGCUUUAAUUGGCUGAACAGGAAAUGCCUGGGCCCUUCCAGGCAAAGAGGAAUUUAACCAUGAUGAACGGGAAGUGUCUAGGCAGCCAUGUUUCUCACCCGUGUGUGUUGUUUUUAGUCAAUCCCAGUCAUUAAGAUUGACUAGAAGGAACAGACUAUAACUCUCUUGGUCAUCACCCUACGCAGAAAACAAAGCUUUCAGAAUCAGGACACAAAGGACUCAAAGUGGAGAGCAGAAGUGCAGCACGGAGGAAACGCAGAGAAGCCAUUUCUAGGGAAGGAGAUAACCAGUGGAGCACUAUCCCAGGAGAAUCACAGCACCAAGUGCCGGAAGAGGCAAUAGCAUCGGUCAAUAAGGGAGAAGCUUCUCCUUUGAGAAUAUAGCAAAGGAAGAGAAGGGAGAGAAGUUGAGUGCUGCACACAGGAUUGACACAGCUGGGCCUUUACUGGACUGCAUCUUUUAUUUUUUUAAAGGGGCCAGUCCGUGUGAAAGGCUCCGUUCCUCACAUGGCA
rnacentral:lncRNA from 1 species